AUUGAACGCUGGCGGCAUGCUUUACACAUGCAAGUCGAACGGCAGCGCGGGCUUCGGCCUGGCGGCGAUUGGCGAACGGGUGCGUAAUGCAUCGGAACGUGCCCCGUAGUGGGGGAUAGCCCUGCGAAAGCCGGAUUAAUACCGAUUACGACCUGCGGGUGAAAGCGGGGGACCGAAAGGCCUCGCGCUCUUGGCGCGGCCGAUGUCGGAUUAGCUAGUUGGUGGGGUAAAGGCUUACCAAGGCGACGAUCCGUAGCUGGUCUGAGAGGACGACCAGCCACACUGGGACUGAGACACGGCCCAGACUCCUACGGGAGGCAGCAGUGGGGAAUUUUGGACAAUGGGGGCAACCCUGAUCCAGCCAUGCCGCGUGCGGGAAGAAGGCCUUCGGGUUGUAAACCGCUUUUGUUCGGGAAGAAAUCCUAUGGGCUAAUACCCCGGGGGGAUGACGGUACCGGAAGAAUAAGCACCGGCUAACUACGUG
rnacentral:rRNA from 1 species